rnacentral:misc_RNA from 1 species
GCCGUCUUAGAGAGAGAUUUCUUUCAUUGAUUUGAUUGAUUUUGAGGAUUUCAGAGACGAUUAAACAAGUAAUUUUGUCGGUCUUCUCUCUUUUUCUUGAAAGUCAAACAAUGCGAAGCGCAAAGACUCAGCCUCCUAUUGUUUGAUAAAAGCCAUCGUUUGAUCUAUUUUUGUUAUUUUAAAUUUUUAUCCCUUUCUCUGAAAUCUCCGAGACUUGGAUUAAGUUUUGACGCGGAACCCAUCUUUGUUAUCGUCUCUAUUUAACUGGGUUUCCUUCUGAUUGGGGUUUGAGAACUUUUACAAGCGAAAGGGAAUCCAGUUAUUAUGAGUUCGAACACCGCGUCUAGCUCCGGAGGUCCGGGAUCGAACGAUUCAUCAUCAAAUAGAAGGAAUUCGAAGCGACCUAAAUAUUCGAGGUUUACCCAGCAGGAACUUCCAGCGUGUAAACCCAUUCUCACACCAAGAUGGGUGAUUUCUGCAUUCAUGUUAGUUAGCAUUAUCUUUGUUCCCAUUGGAGUUGCUUCCUUGUUUGCUUCCAGAGAUGUCGUUGAAAUAAUUGAUCGUUAUGAAACUGAGUGCAUACCAGAACAAUUUAGAAACGAUAAGGUUGGGUUCAUACAGGGCCCUGCAGUUAAAACUUGCCGCAGAAACAUAACUGUGCCGAAACGUAUGAAACAACCAAUAUAUGUUUAUUACCAGCUUGACAAUUUCUACCAGAACCACCGCAGAUACGUGCAGAGCCGUAGUGAUAAGCAAUUGAGAGAUGCUGGCAGCGCGCAUGAUACAAGCUCUUGCAAGCCCGAAGACAAUGUGAAUGGGCAGCCAAUCGUUCCCUGUGGUUUGAUAGCAUGGAG